CAGGCUCUCCUGCGGAAACCAGGGUGACUGCCUCUCAGCUUUCCUGUCUGGCAGCCAGGGGCUCCUCUAAGAUGGGGAAUACCCACAGUUUCUUUGGUUGAGUGCUGGGUUUGACCUAAGGCCCAUUUUGAAGAAAGGAAUGAGUAUGUUUGAAGAUUGGAAUCAGUGGCAGGUGGUAAAAUGCUCUGAGGCCUCAGGAGAAUGAGAGCACCUGAACAAACAGUGUGGGCAUCUUUGAUGAAGAACAUAGAAAAAAUAAGGAAACGAUUUUUUGGUUACACACCGACGGCCAUUUGGGUCCACACUGUAUUUUACGGACUGCUAAGGGAGUGUUCAAGUUCUACUGGGAACGUGCUUUGGAAAGUUGCUAUUGAUGAUUUAUUUGGAUCCAGCAUCUCUUGGACUAGAAUUUCAUCUUGGGAAAAGCACACAAAGACAUGUUAAAG